GGGGGCGUUUUGGGAUUCGACGGGGAUAGUUCGAGCGUCAGUAGCGAGCCGAGGGGUUGCGUUUCUCGUUAAUCACGCAAACGCCAAUUCAACUGGCAAACAAGAUAAUUUUGCACUUGCUGCCUAAUUAGGCAGUGAGGAUCCGCUUCUCCAUCGCCUGUGUGGAGCUGCCGGGUCUCAAACUUAAGCAGGCUAGCUGACCGAUAUGCCACUGAUCGGAAAGCGAACUAAUAGUGGCUGGUCUUUAAAAUCGCCUGUCACUGGGCAGUUUUAAAGACGAGACUAUCGUACAGUGACUGCGCUCGGAGAAUCUGGCGUGGCGAUGUCUUCGGACAGCGGUUCAAAUCCGCUCGCCUCCACCA
rnacentral:tmRNA from 1 species